GCAAGUAAUUCUUUAAUGAUUUUUUCGGCCAAAGUAACAUAAGUAGUUAUGCGAAGUUUUCUUGUUGGCCACAAUUGAAAUCAUCGCUAAUUAUUAUUUAUGAAAAUAAUUUAUAUUUGAAUUUCGGAAUAUGCCACACUGGCGUCGUGCCUAAAUAUGAGACAUUAGAAAAAUCUAUUGAUUUUUGAAACAUCCUUUUAAACUGUGGCUGAAGUUUCUUUACUAAAAUUUAUAAUUACUACUAAUAUAUUUUUAGUCACAGUCAGUCGUGUGGAUAAAUGCUAUAAUAUCUUCUUUUUUUUUAAAAAAAGUUGCUAGUAUUUCCAGCAUUUCCCAGGUAUCCGUACAUAAUUAAGGGGCAUAUAAUGAGAUCCAAAUAAGCAAAUCAUGGUCUUUCGAAAACAGUCUCCCUACCUUGGUAGGAGUAAGGUCUGUGUACACUAUACCCUCCCCAGACAUCAUAUUGUGGGAUUUCACUGGGUUGUUAUUGUAAUGACUAGAGUCUCAUAAUUCAACUUGUUUCAACCAUUUAAUAUUUGUAAAAUAUGCAGUGACAUAAAUGAAAGAAUGCGGUUAUAGGGGCAUACAUGGAUGACGAUGGUAGAAUUUAACAAGCUCCACUCAAUUAAGUACAAGGGCCAACAAUAGGUUUGCAGUUCUGAACAACAACCAUAAUCUCUCAGAUUUAGGGGAUGAUGGUACUAGUCAGUUCCAACCUCCAUGAUCAUAUGUACAUGGAAUAUUAAAGGGCUAAAUAGGCCCUUUAAACGUAAGGAGAUACCUCUCUUUCUGAGGAAUAAUAAGAUAGAAAUCAUGGGAAUAAUUGAAACAAGGGUGAAGGAAAAUAACUCAAAGAAAAUCACAAAAAAUAGCUAACAACAGGAAGGUGUGUUAUAACUAUGAUCAUGCCUAUAAUGGUAGGAUUUGGCUACUUUGGAAGGAACGUAUCCAGGUACAGAUCUUAGAGGUUGGUGAUCAGUUCAUCCAUUGUGAAGUUCAUACUACAAUACUUUGUUGCUCACUGUUAUUUAUGCUAGAAAUGAUUUAGGGAAGAGACAAGAACUUUGGAAUAAACUCACACACAUAAGUUCUCAAGUUCAAACUGAGUGGCUUGUGUGUGGUGAUUUUAAUAAUGUAUUGAAUUCAGAGAAUAGAAUUGGGGCCCCAGUUACUCAAGUAUAAAAUUGGCUUCAGGGAUCUCAUUAAUAUUGCACAGUUAACCCCUCUGAAGAGUACAUGAUGUCAUUAAUUUACUUCGUGUAACAAUCAAGAUGGGAACAACAGAGUUUAUAGUAAGAUUGAUUGGACACUGAAAAAUUAUGGGUGGCUGCUAAAACUUAGUCUUAUUGAAGCUGAUUUCCUCAGUCCUCGAGUGUCAGACCAUUCUCCAGUAUUUAUUCAUUGCAACCCUGGAGCUCAGCUUAGAAAUUUACAUCCAAAGCCCUUUAAGCUAUACAGCAAUGUGUUAAAUCAUCCAGAUUUUAGGAGGAUAGUUAAGAGUGUUUGGAGGCGGGAUGUACGAGAGAUAGAAAUGAAUAGAACUUACCAUAAACUUAAACUACUAAAGGUGUCUUUGACGGAUUUUAAUAACUAUAUGGCUUCCUAUCAAUAGAAAUUAAACCAGUCCAGGCAGAGUUUAGAGAUAGUACAGGCUAGGAUCUCCAUGCAACCAUUAUGGAAACAACUUAUUGAUCAGACGAAUGAAGCUGUACUAGAAGUUUAGGAGCAAUGUGGAAGAACAAGUCAUGAGAUAGAAGUCUAGAGCUAGCUGGAUAGAAUGUGGGGACUCUAAUACUUCUUACAUCUAUGCUCAUUGGAAGAUGAGAACAGUGUAAACUCUAUCACCUCUAUCUAUAAUGAAGUUGCUAUCAAGGUCACUGAUCAUGUCCAGAUGGAAACUGAGUUCGUAUGUUUCUUCACUAAGCUUAUGGGAGAAGCAACCACCCUGCUUCGUUGUCCAAAUGCUAAAGUUAUAAAAUAGGGAACUUGUUUGACAAGGAACCAAUAGUUACAUUUGAUCAGGAAUGUUACAUCAGAGAAAAUCAUGGAUGCUAUAAAGAGUAUACCCAAAGAAAAGGCUCCAGGGGCAGAUAGAUUUCCAGUUUAAUUUUUUACACAGCAUUGGGAUGAAGCAAAGACUGAUGUACUAGAAGUCGUGUUAAAUUUCUUUAGAACCGGUGAGAUACGCAAGGCCAUAAACUGUACAACAGUUACUCUUAUUCCUAAAGCCCCUUCUCCAACUUAGGUAAAGGAUUGUAGGCCAAUUUCUACACCACUCUAUACAAGAUUAUCACCAAAAUCUUGACUGGUAGGCUAAAGAGUGUCUUUAGUGACCUAGUUAGUGGGCCACAAUUAGCUUUCAUUGAAGGAAGGAGUAUUACUAACAAUAUUGUAUUCACUCAUUAACUAUUUAAGGGUUACAUAAGGAAAGGGAUCGCAGCAAGUCAUGUGCUUAAGGUGGAUCUUAGGAAGGCUUAUGACACUUUGGAUUGCUAUCUCUUGAAGUGGAUGCUGGUUGAAAUUAGGUUCCCACAAAGGUUUGUGAAGUAGAUCAUGGCAUGUAUUUCUACUGUUACCUAUUCCUUGACUUUAACGGUGGCCUCACAAAACAUUUUGCAAAGAAAGAGAGGCAUCAGACUGGGGGGUCCUAUUUCCCUUUACCUGUUUGACAUAGUCAAGGAAUAUGUACAGAAGGGAUUUGCAAAGUUGGCUCUGAACAAGAACUUCAAUUUCCACCCCAGAUGCAAGAAGUUGGGUGUGAUACAUGUGUGGUUUGUUGAUGAUUUGUUAAUGUUUGCAAGGCUGACCUUCCAUCUAUUAGGCUCCUUAAACAAGCUUUUCAUAAGUUCUCAAUGGCAUCUGGCUCGCAAGCAAAAUGUAGAUAAAAGCUCCACGUUCUUAGCUGGCAUUUUUGAUAUCUUGAAGCAAGACAUUUUUGAGGAGUUGGGCUCUACUAUGGGUACUUUUCCUUUCAGGUACCUUGGUGUACCUUUGGCUUCUAAGAAACUGUCCAUUAUUCAAUGUUGGCCACUAGUGGAGAAAAUCUCUAUAAGAAUAAAUUGUUGGACUUCUAGAAUGCUAUCAAUGUAGGGAGAUUGCAAUUGAUCAAAUCAGUGUUAUUUGGAGUUCGGUCCUACUGGGGUGAAAUCUUUCUAUUGCCCAAGAAGGUCCUCAAGAUGAUAGAAGCUGCAUGUAGAUAAUUCCAUUAUUUUUAAGAAAGCUUUGAUUUCAUGGGUCAACAUUUGUAUAUCUCAAGCUGUUGGGGGACUUAAUGUUAUGAAUCUCUAUCUUUGGAACAAAGUAGUUGUGGCAAAACACUUUUGGGAUAUUGCUAUGAAGAAAGAUUGUCUUUGGAUCAGAUGGAUUCACUCUUGUUACAUUAAAAAUCAGGUUGUGGAUUAUGUUCCUAUACCCAAGAAUGCAGCUUCGGUUGUGAGGAAAAUAUUGGGUAUCAAAAUUCUUAUUAUUGGGCUUCAGAAUGUCCAAGGUGACCAUACAUGUAGACUGACUCAACUGCAUCAUCUUGGAGGUGGAUUUAUCAUGAAGAUGUUGUAUCAUUGGUUUCACCUCAAUAUCAGAGGGUCCCUUGGAAGAGUAUGAUUUUACAACCUAACUUAUACCAAAGAUUCAAAUUUAAUUUGUGGCUAGCUGCUCAUAGAAGACUAGCUAUUGUGGAUACUACUAUUGUGAUAUGAGUGGUUUAAAUUGGUUGUGUCUUUCUCAAUCAUCCUGGCCAGAACUUGUAUGCAACACUUAUAUGGAGCAUAAAUGUUUGGAACUCUUUUCUUAUCUAAAUUUUAAGGAUAGGGCCCUACCCUAUUCUUGAACCCUCUACCGAACUCCACCCUACCCACAUUUUCUUGUGUUUUGAAAAGGAAAAAAACUCUCUCUACUUGCUACAAACAGUCUUUCUUCGGAAUUAUCUUAACGGGUCGAUCCUCCAAUCCGCUUUGUUUGGUCCCACCACCAACUCUAACUGAGAAGUUGAGUCACCCUUUUUUUUUCCAGAAAUAUAGUAGUACAGAAUGAGAUAGUCUAUCUUGUAUUGAUCAUAGGAUCACUCUAUGAAUAGGUCGAUUCUCUGUGACCUCCCACCAUUCAUGACAUCCCUUGCUUCUCACAAGAAUGACUCCUUGGUGGAGGAGUAGAAGCGUUGGUCCCCUUCGAUCAACUUGAUCUGCCUACUGUUACCUAACGUAGGACCUCCGUCCCCGAGGUUGCUGACAUUUGGAAUUCAUUCCCUCAAACAUGUGAUUUUUCUAGUUUAGCUGAUGAAUUGUUUGAGCAUUUAUUUUUUAUUGCCCUACUAUUAGGUGCAUAUGGUCCAGAAUGCUAAUUUGGCCUGGACAUCCCAGGCCCAUCACUACUUGGCAGUCUAAGGUACAAAGGAUCACUCUAUGUGCAAAAAGGUAAUCUGGGCACUGGGCAAUUGUAACAUGUGUCUUUAGCAUGAUGGCUUACUUGAUAUAGAGAGACAUGAACAAGCUCAGGUUCUAGGGUGAUGCUACUUCACUAGAUAAGUUGUGUAGAGAGAUAGCAGUGCAUAUACACACCCGUGGCAAUUCAAUUCACAAUUGGUAUGGCAGCGUUACACCAUUGAGCUCAUUUCCAUAGUUCUAGUCAGACGGAAUAUCUUCGCUCGUUUCGAGAACUGGUUGGAAUUAAGAGGAGGGUUCCUCUAGGUGAAAGGAAGAAUUCUAAUGAAAUCAAGGAAGAUGUAGAUGAUGACGAUGAUGUUGAUGAAGAUGAUGACGAUGAUGAUAGUUAUGACGACACUGACAGAGAUGGUAAUUUUAAGAUUUAUGGAGAACAUACAACUAGUGAAGAAGAAGGAGCUUUUAAUAACAGUGAAAGUGACAACGAUGAUGAUGCUGCUGAUGAUAUUUAUAAUAUGAUUUAUGGAGAACAAAGCAACAAUACUGAAGAUGAUGAUGACCAUGAUUUUGAUGAUGAUAGUGAUGGCCGAUGUGAUGCAAACGGUAAAAUUUAUGGGGAACCAAUAACUAGUGAUGAUGAGGAGGAAGAAAAAGGUCGAGCACUAUCAAAACAGAAAAAUAAAGUGAUUAUUAUAUUAGCAUGAAGAAAAUUAAUAUAUUUUGUAUUAUGUAAUGGCAAAUUAAGUUAAUUUUGUUCCGAAUGCUAGUCAAUUUUAUAUUUCAUGAU